rnacentral:rRNA from 1 species
UACAGAGGGGGCAAGCGUUGUUCGGAAUUACUGGGCGUAAAGGGCGCGUAGGCGGCCAUCUAAGUCGAACGUGAAAUCCCCGGGCUCAACCCGGGAACUGCGUCCGAUACUGGUUGGCUUGAAUCCGGGAGAGGGAUGCGGAAUUCCAGGUGUAGCGGUGAAAUGCGUAGAUAUCUGGAGGAACACCGGUGGCGAAGGCGGCAUCCUGGACCGGCAUUGACGCUGAGGCGCGAAAGCCAGGGGAGCAAAGCGG